GUGGAGUCAAAGCCUUUCCUUAAGAAGGGAAAUGGCAUAGGUCCUGGUGCUGAAACUAAUAUUGCCAAACUGAAAGGUUCAGUGGCAAAUGAGGCUUUGGAAAAUGAAGAAGCAUUUGAAGAAUAUCCCUUUGAGGCAGAAGAUUCAAUCAAUGAAGCAAAAGAAGAAGAUGAGGAGGAGCUAGAAACAACAGAGGUUGAAGAUUCUGCAAACAAUAAAAACGGAAAACUGGGACUAGGCCAGGAAUCUGAUAAGAUGUCUGAUUCUGAGAAUAGUGAUUCUUUGAGAUCUCUUUCUCAAGUUGAUCCUUCUUCAGUUGCUGAACUGCCAGCAUCUGUUCCUUCUACAUUAAACACUGUUGGGUCCUUACAAGACUCACCUGGGGAAAGCCCAGUGUCAUG
rnacentral:misc_RNA from 1 species